rnacentral:rRNA from 1 species
UAGGGAAUUUUCGUCAAUGGGCGCAAGCCUGAACGAGCGAUGCCGCGUGAGUGAAGAAGGCCUUCGGGUCGUAAAGCUCUGUUGCGGGGGAAAAAAGGCAGCAUCAGGAAAUGGGUGCUGACUGAUGGUGCCCCGCCAGAAAGUCACGGCUAACUACGUGCC